GGUUAAGCGACUAAGCGUACACGGUGGAUGCCCUGGCAGUCAGAGGCGAUGAAGGACGUGCUAAUCUGCGAUAAGCGUCGGUAAGGUGAUAUGAACCGUUAUAACCGGCGAUUUCCGAAUGGGGAAACCCAGUGUGUUUCGACACACUAUCAUUAACUGAAUCCAUAGGUUAAUGAGGCGAACCGGGGGAACUGAAACAUCUAAGUACCCCGAGGAAAAGAAAUCAACCGAGAUUCCCCCAGUAGCGGCGAGCGAACGGGGAGCAGCCCAGAGCCUGAAUCAGUGUGUGUGUUAGUGGAAGCGUCUGGAAAGGCGCGCGAUACAGGGUGACAGCCCCGUACACAAAAAUGCACAUGCUGUGAGCUCGAUGAGUAGGGCGGGACACGUGGUAUCCUGUCUGAAUAUGGGGGGACCAUCCUCCAAGGCUAAAUACUCCUGACUGACCGAUAGUGAACCAGUACCGUGAGGGAAAGGCGAAAAGAACCCCGGCGAGGGGAGUGAAAAAGAACCUGAAACCGUGUACGUACAAGCAGUGGGAGCACGCUUAGGCGUGUGACUGCGUACCUUUUGUAUAAUGGGUCAGCGACUUAUAUUCUGUAGCAAGGUUAACCGAAUAGGGGAGCCGAAGGGAAACCGAGUCUUAACUGGGCGUUAAGUUGCAGGGUAUAGACCCGAAACCCGGUGAUCUAGCCAUGGGCAGGUUGAAGGUUGGGUAACACUAACUGGAGGACCGAACCGACUAAUGUUGAAAAAUUAGCGGAUGACUUGUGGCUGGGGGUGAAAGGCCAAUCAAACCGGGAGAUAGCUGGUUCUCCCCGAAAGCUAUUUAGGUAGCGCCUCGUGAAUUCAUCUCCGGGGGUAGAGCACUGUUUCGGCAAGGGGGUCAUCCCGACUUACCAACCCGAUGCAAACUGCGAAUACCGGAGAAUGUUAUCACGGGAGACACACGGCGGGUGCUAACGUCCGUCGUGAAGAGGGAAACAACCCAGACCGCCAGCUAAGGUCCCAAAGUCAUGGUUAAGUGGGAAACGAUGUGGGAAGGCCCAGACAGCCAGGAUGUUGGCUUAGAAGCAGCCAUCAUUUAAAGAAAGCGUAAUAGCUCACUGGUCGAGUCGGCCUGCGCGGAAGAUGUAACGGGGCUAAACCAUGCACCGAAGCUGCGGCAGCGACACUAUGUGUUGUUGGGUAGGGGAGCGUUCUGUAAGCCUGUGAAGGUGUGCUGUGAGGCAUGCUGGAGGUAUCAGAAGUGCGAAUGCUGACAUAAGUAACGAUAAAGCGGGUGAAAAGCCCGCUCGCCGGAAGACCAAGGGUUCCUGUCCAACGUUAAUCGGGGCAGGGUGAGUCGACCCCUAAGGCGAGGCCGAAAGGCGUAGUCGAUGGGAAACAGGUUAAUAUUCCUGUACUUGGUGUUACUGCGAAGGGGGGACGGAGAAGGCUAUGUUGGCCGGGCGACGGUUGUCCCGGUUUAAGCGUGUAGGCUGGUUUUCCAGGCAAAUCCGGAAAAUCAAGGCUGAGGCGUGAUGACGAGGCACUACGGUGCUGAAGCAACAAAUGCCCUGCUUCCAGGAAAAGCCUCUAAGCAUCAGGUAACAUCAAAUCGUACCCCAAACCGACACAGGUGGUCAGGUAGAGAAUACCAAGGCGCUUGAGAGAACUCGGGUGAAGGAACUAGGCAAAAUGGUGCCGUAACUUCGGGAGAAGGCACGCUGAUAUGUAGGUGAAGUCCCUCGCGGAUGGAGCUGAAAUCAGUCGAAGAUACCAGCUGGCUGCAACUGUUUAUUAAAAACACAGCACUGUGCAAACACGAAAGUGGACGUAUACGGUGUGACGCCUGCCCGGUGCCGGAAGGUUAAUUGAUGGGGUUAGCGCAAGCGAAGCUCUUGAUCGAAGCCCCGGUAAACGGCGGCCGUAACUAUAACGGUCCUAAGGUAGCGAAAUUCCUUGUCGGGUAAGUUCCGACCUGCACGAAUGGCGUAAUGAUGGCCAGGCUGUCUCCACCCGAGACUCAGUGAAAUUGAACUCGCUGUGAAGAUGCAGUGUACCCGCGGCAAGACGGAAAGACCCCGUGAACCUUUACUAUAGCUUGACACUGAACAUUGAGCCUUGAUGUGUAGGAUAGGUGGGAGGCUUAGAAGUGUGGACGCCAGUCUGCAUGGAGCCGACCUUGAAAUACCACCCUUUAAUGUUUGAUGUUCUAACGUUGACCCGUAAUCCGGGUUGCGGACAGUGUCUGGUGGGUAGUUUGACUGGGGCGGUCUCCUCCUAAAGAGUAACGGAGGAGCACGAAGGUUGGCUAAUCCUGGUCGGACAUCAGGAGGUUAGUGCAAUGGCAUAAGCCAGCUUGACUGCGAGCGUGACGGCGCGAGCAGGUGCGAAAGCAGGUCAUAGUGAUCCGGUGGUUCUGAAUGGAAGGGCCAUCGCUCAACGGAUAAAAGGUACUCCGGGGAUAACAGGCUGAUACCGCCCAAGAGUUCAUAUCGACGGCGGUGUUUGGCACCUCGAUGUCGGCUCAUCACAUCCUGGGGCUGAAGUAGGUCCCAAGGGUAUGGCUGUUCGCCAUUUAAAGUGGUACGCGAGCUGGGUUUAGAACGUCGUGAGACAGUUCGGUCCCUAUCUGCCGUGGGCGCUGGAGAACUGAGGGGGGCUGCUCCUAGUACGAGAGGACCGGAGUGGACGCAUCACUGGUGUUCGGGUUGUCAUGCCAAUGGCACUGCCCGGUAGCUAAAUGCGGAAGAGAUAAGUGCUGAAAGCAUCUAAGCACGAAACUUGCCCCGAGAUGAGUUCUCCCUGACCCUUUAAGGGUCCUGAAGGAACGUUGAAGACGACGACGUUGAUAGGCCGGGUGUGUAAGCGCAGCGAUGCGUUGAGCUAACCGGUACUAAUGAACCGUGAGGCUUAACCUU
rnacentral:rRNA from 2 species